UACGUAGGGUCCGAGCGUUGUCCGGAAUUACUGGGCGUAAAGAGCUCGUAGGUGGUUUGUCGCGUUGUUCGUGAAAACUCACAGCUCAACUGUGGGCGUGCGGGCGAUACGGGCAGACUUGAGUACUGCAGGGGAGACUGGAAUUCCUGGUGUAGCGGUGGAAUGCGCAGAUAGUCAGGAGGAACACCGGUGGCGAAGGCGGGUCUCUGGGCAGUAACUGACGCUGAGGAGCGAAAGCGUGGGGAGCGAACAGG
rnacentral:rRNA from 1 species